rnacentral:rRNA from 1 species
CCACUGACGCUGAGGAGCGAAAGCGUGGGGAGCGAACAGGAUUAGAUACCCUGGUAGUCCACGCCGUAAACGGUGGGCGCUAGAUGUGGGGACCCUUCCAUGGUUUCUGCGUCGCAGCUAACGCAUUAAGCGCCCCGCCUGGGGAGUACGGUCGCAAGACUAAAACUCAAAGGAAUUGACGGGGGCCCGCACAAGCAGCGGAGCAUGCGGCUUAAUUCGAUGCAACGCGAAGAACCUUACCUAGACUUGACAUAUACGGAAAACAUGCAGAGAUGUAUGGUCCUAACGGGCCGUUUACAGGUGGUGCAUGGUUGUCGUCAGCUCGUGUCGUGAGAUGUUGGGUUAAGUCCCGCAACGAGCGCAACCCUCGUUCUAUGUUGCCAGCACGUAAAGGUGGGGACUCAUAGGAGACUGCCGGGGUCAACUCGGAGGAAGGUGGGGAUGACGUCAAAUCAUCAUGCCCCUUAUGUCUAGGGCUGCACGCAUGCUACAAUGGCUGGUACAGAGGGCUGCGAUACCGCAAGGUGGAGCGAAUCCCAAAAAGCCAGUCUCAGUUCGGAUUGGGGUCUGCAACUCGACCCCAUGAAGUUGGAGUUGCUAGUAAUCGCAGAUCAGCAACGCUGCGGUGAAUACGUUCCCGGGCCUUGUACACACCGCCCGUCACGUCACGAAAGUC